rnacentral:snRNA from 1 species
AACCCGUAAGGCGCAAGGAA